rnacentral:rRNA from 1 species
AGUUGUUGCAGUUAAAAAGCUCGUAGUUGGACUUUAGGCAAGGCGGCCUGGUCACCCUCUGGGUGUACUGGGAUCGCUGCGCCUCACCUUCGGGGAGCUAGUCGUGCUUCGGUGCGCUAGGGAACCGAGCCUUACCUUGAGGAAAUUAGAGUGUUUAAAGCAGGCUUAUGCUUGAAUACGUUAGCAUGGAAUAACAUGAUAGGACUUUGGUUCUAUUUUGUUGGUUUGAGGACCAAAGUAAUGAUUAAUAGGGACAGUUGGGGGCAUUAGUAUUCAAUAGUCAGAGGUGAAAUUCUUGGAUUUAUUGAAGACUAACUAAUGCGAAAGCAUUUGCCAAGGAUGUUUUCAUUAAUCAAGAACGAAAGUUAGGGGAUCGAAGACGAUUAGAUACCGUCGUAGUCUUAACCAUAAACUAUGCCGACUAGGGAUCGGUGGAAGUCGAUUUUGACUCCAUCGGCACCUUACGAGAAAUCAAAGUUUUUGGGUUCUGGGGGGAGUAUGGUCGCAAGGCUGAAACUUAAAGGAAUUGACGGAAGGGCACCACCAGGAGUGGAGCCUGCGGCUUAAUUUGACUCAACACGGGAAAACUCACCAGGUCCGGACAUGGGAAGGAUUGACAGAUUGAGAGCUCUU